UUAAUAAUUACAACUUUCAACAACGGAUCUCUUGGUUCUGGCAUCGAUGAAGAACGCAGCGAAAUGCGAUAAGUAGUGUGAAUUGCAGAAUUCAGUGAAUCAUCGAAUCUUUGAACGCACAUUGCGCCCUUUGGUAUUCCAAAGGGCAUGCCUGUUCGAGCGUCAUUU
rnacentral:rRNA from 1 species